rnacentral:rRNA from 1 species
ACGUGGGCAACCUACCCACCAGAGGGGGAUAACACUUGGAAACAGGUGCUAAUAGCGCAUAAUUACUUUGUCCGCGUGGUGAAAGUAUGAGAGACAGUUCGGUGUCACUGGUGGAUGGGCCCGGGGUGCAUGAGUUAGUUGGUGGGGUAACGGCCUACCAAGACCAUGAUGCAUAGCCGACCUGAGAGGGUGAUCGGCCACACUGGUUCUGGGACACGGCCCAGACUCCUACGGGAGGCAGCAGUAGGGAAUCUUCGGCAA